rnacentral:rRNA from 1 species
GAUGAACGCUGACAGAAUGCUUAACACAUGCAAGUCUACUUGAACUUCGGUUUGGGUGGCGGACGGGUGAGUAACGCGUAAAGAACUUGCCUCACAGUUAGGGACAACAUUUGGAAACGAAUGCUAAUACCUGAUAUUAUGAUUUUAGGGCAUCCUAGGAUUAUGAAAGCUAUAUGUGCUGUGAGAGAGCGUUGCGUCCCAUUAGCUAGUUGGAGAGGUAACGGCUCACCAAGGCGAUGAUGGGUAGCCGGCCUGAGAGGGUGAACGGCCACAAGGGGACUGAGACACGGCCCUUACUCCUACGGGAGGCAGCAGUGGGGAAUAUUGGACAAUGGACCAAAAGUCUGAUCCAGCAAUUCUGUGUGCACGAUGACGUUUUUCGGAAUGUAAAGUGCUUUCAGUUGGGAAGAAAAAAAUGACGGUACCAACAGAAGAAGUGACGGCUAAAUACGUG